rnacentral:rRNA from 1 species
UACGUAGGGGGCGAGCGUUGUCCGGAAUUACUGGGCGUAAAGGGCGCGUAGGCGGCCCGCUAAGUCGAACGUGAAAUCCCCGAGCUCAACUCGGGAACUGCGUCCGAUACUGGUGGGCUUGAAUCCGGGAGAGGGAUGCGGAAUUCCAGGUGUAGCGGUGAAAUGCGUAGAUAUCUGGAGGAACACCGGUGGCGAAGGCGGCAUCCUGGACCGGCAUUGACGCUGAGGCGCGAAAGCUAGGGGAGCAAGCGGG